rnacentral:rRNA from 1 species
CCUACGGGAGGCUGCAGUGAGGAAUAUUGGUCAAUGGGCGGGAGCCUGAACCAGCCAAGUCGCGUGAGGGACGACGGUCCUAUGGAUUGUAAACCUCUUUUGUCGGGGAACAAAGACGCCCACGGGUGGGCGGAUGAGUGUACCCGAAGAAAAAGCAUCGGCUAACUCCGUGCCAGCAGCCGCGGUAAUACGGAGGAUUCAAGCGUUAUCCGGAUUUAUUGGGUGUAAAGGGGGCGUAGACGGCGAUGCAAGUCUGACGUGAAAGGCGGGGGCCCAACCCCCGGACUGCUGUGGAAACUGGAAGGCUGGAGUGCGAGAGAGGUAAGCGGAAUGCGUGGUGUAGCGGUGAAAUGCGUAGAUAUUAGGAGGAACACCAGUGGCGAAGGCAGCUUACUGGACUGUAACUGACGUUGAGGCUCGAAAGCGUGGGGAGCAAACAGGAUUAGAUACCCUAGUAGUC